CAAAAAUUAGUUUAUUGAAAAUACUAAGCUUGGGGCUUAGAGUAAUGUAUGUGUUUAUGGUGUAUUUUUGA